GAACGGUAGCACAGAGAGCUUGCUCUUGGGUGACGAGUGGCGGACGGGUGAGUAAUGUCUGGGAAACUGCCCGAUGGAGGGGGAUAACUACUGGAAACGGUAGCUAAUACCGCAUAACGUCUUCGGACCAAAGUGGGGGACCUUCGGGCCUCACACCAUCGGAUGUGCCCAGAUGGGAUUAGCUAGUAGGUGGGGUAACGGCUCACCUAGGCGACGAUCCCUAGCUGGUCUGAGAGGAUGACCAGCCACACUGGAACUGAGACACGGUCCAGACUCCUACGGGAGGCAGCAGUGGGGAAUAUUGCACAAUGGGCGCAAGCCUGAUGCAGCCAUGCCGCGUGUAUGAAGAAGGCCUUCGGGUUGUAAAGUACUUUCAGUGGGGAGGAAGGCGAUGGAGUUUAUAGCUUCGUCGAUUGACGUUACCCGCAGAAGAAGCACUGGCUAACUCCGUG
rnacentral:rRNA from 1 species